rnacentral:rRNA from 1 species
AUGGAGGACCUCAGCGUCGAGGAGCUCGCCUCCAAUCUCUCCACCUACAAGGACCAGCUCCGCGAGGUUAGGAAGUUCAUCAAGGAGAAAAAAGAUGAUGCUGGAAUUUCUGAAUAUGUCGAUAUGGAAAAGGAGCUUCAAGAGGUUAUUACAUUAACCGAAGAGCUUUUGGCAACUGCAAAUCCAAGUGAGAGUGCGCAGAAUGAUGUAGGUCUAUCGCCGCCAAAUUAUUCUGCUGGAGUGCACUCAGAGGCACUGGAUGGCCUCUCACAAUCCCAUGAAAAAUUUGCAGUUGGUACCAAAGUGCAAGCUGUGUAUAGUGAAGAUGGGGAGUGGUACAAUGCGACAAUUGAAGGUCUGACACCAAUCGGCUAUUUUGUCAGUUAUGAAGGCUGGGGAAACAAGGAAGAGGUGGACCCUGCUAAUGUCAGGGCACUUGACGUGGAAGCUGCUGAUGCUUUAGGACUAGCUGAAAAAGAAGCUGAAGCGACAAAAAUGGCAUUAAAGAGAAAAGUUGAACAAGCAGCAACAUCUGACUAUCAGAUUCGUAGCUUACCCACAAAACUUAAGAUCGAUCCAAAUGAUCCUGAAGAUGUGAAAGCUGCAAAGCGUAAGAAGAUCCAUGCUUUCAAAUCAAAAGCCCGCUUUGAGCAACUAGAUUUCGCACAGAAUAAGCGGCAAAAUGCAUGGCAACAGUUCCAGACUACCAAAGGAAAGGCUAAGAAGGUGGGAUUCUUUUCGGGUCGCAAGAAGGAGAGCAUCUUCAAGUCACCGGAAGAUCACAGAGGUAAGGUGGGGGUCACUGGUAGUGGGAAAGGCCUGACUGACUUCCAGAGGAGGGAGAAGCACCUUCAUCUCAAGGAUGGCUCUUCUGGGGAUACACUGGACUGUGAGGAAUAA